GGUCGAUGAUGACAAGUAAAAGGUCUGAGGGCACAGGGGAGUUACACUCCAUUACCCUUUCGGCUCCCAGCAGUCCCUGUUCUGUCAUGCCAUAGUAGAGCUGUGAUGGAGGAAGAGAUUGCUGACAGUUCGGGAUUAAUUCGGUUCCAGUUCUCCACAGUGAAGGGAGUUGUGGCACUGAAUGUCAUCCAACAGAUCUGGUUCAGAGGAGCUCGUGGUGUUGGGGUGUCUUUGUUUGCUGUGUGUGAUCUAAAGUUUUCAAGCUGAGACC
rnacentral:snoRNA from 1 species